rnacentral:sRNA from 1 species
CCUUUCAGCUUUGCUGUCUGCAGAUGGCUUGAGUGCUAAUCAGCUCAAUGGACCCUCUGCCUUAUCACAAGGGCAGAGGGCCAGUGUGACAGCCUUCUGUAUCCCGAGCUAUUGCCCAGUGUCCCAGAAGAAUUGGAUCACAUGUGGGCUUGAAGGAUGAAUGCAAGGUCCACAGCGUCCAAUUCAUGGAGUUCUCGGAAGUGGAGAAUCAGGAUGACUACUACAGCACAGAAGCUGGCUGUAUCCACACCCAGGACCAGCAAGGGGUGCAUGUCAUGUAUGAGGAAGCCUUGAGUGAUCUCAAGGAACUAGAGGCAGAGCUGCUGCUUGUGGCUAGCCAUUACAUUGAGAAAGAAAGGGGUCACAAAGUGGGCAGCCAGCCAAAGAGUGGCCAGGACUGGGGAUGGGCCCAUGCAGGUGUGGACAGAUUUGCUGUGCUGUAUGACACGUGGACUUGGGAAGCAGCUCUUCUGGAAAACAAGCACCAGCUUCUUGACAGUUACUUUGAAGCCUACCAGCACACGUUGGACCCUGAGGAGAGGUUUGCCUUAGCACAAGUGAUGACGGACAUCGUGCACCGGCGCCCAAGGUUUGAUCUCAGCCACCCCUAUUUCAUUAAGGCCUACGGAGAGGAAUGCACCUGCCUGAGGCUUCACCUGCAGUUAGUGAGGGGCAUCCUCAACCAGCAGAUAGAACGUCAGCGGGAGUAUGUCCAGAGGCUUUGGCGAGAGGAUCAUCUGGACAAUAGCAAUACAUUUGGACUUCCCCUUAAUAUAGUUUGCAAACAACUUAUUUCCAUCAACAAUAGCUGCCCAGCUUCAAAAAAUGUUUAUCUGCUGGAGUUCCACCCUUCCCUCAGCCUGGCAGCACUUAUCCCCAAAGCCCUAGAGCAUCUCUUCCAAGAGGCCUGCCAUGCCUGCAGACCCACAUCAGCCAGUGGCCUUGCCUCCCUGGAACGACAUGUCCUGCAGCUGGCCCUGGACCUGUGGCUCACCCCAGCCACGCCUGAGGCCUGGUACAGUACACAGCUCCAGAAAGAUCUGUUUUCAGCUAAAGUUAUGGGAGAUCCCUUUCUCGUGGGGGAGAUAGGCCUGCUGGCAUUCAAGUCUGCGGCAGACGAAGGACAGAAACAAGGCCAAGACUCUCAUGUGCUGCUCUUGGAGAUGUUUUCCAAACUUCUGGAACUCUUGACCCUCCGCCACCGGCUGAUAGAAAUGAGCCUGGAGAGUGCACACUUAGCUCGGCUCUAUAAAGAAUUGGCAUGGGAGAUGGGUUUUGAAGAGUUCCAUUUGUAUCUGAGGCCUGUUCACUUUGAAUUUGCAUCACACAGGGACAGGGCAGACCAGCCACCUCCUGUCUUGAUAACCUCUCUGCUGGAGGACGGUGGUCGGGUAGACAGAUAUUCUCCUACUGCUCUUGUCUUAGCCGUCUCUGAGGUGGAUGAUAACCAAAUUGGCAAAUUUAGUUUUUACACAAAGGAAGCCAUUCUUAAGCUCUUGUUGCAUUCUGGAGUGGAAAAUAUGCAGGUGACUCUUGCAUGCCAAGCUGCUCAGAAAAAUGCUUUGAUGGUGGCUGUCCAGCAGGUGUACUUCUAUCACACCCCUCAAGGGAGCUGUCCUGCUAAUAUCAAGGUCAGCCGCAUGACAGAGAAGCCAGAGGCAUCUCAUCACUCCCACCAGCUAAUGUCAGGCUGCCCCUUUCUUCCUUCCUUUUUUCCCUUCUCCCUUUCUCCCUUUCUUUCUCCCCUGCCCCCUACUUUCUCUUUCCUAUCUCAUUAUCUUCCUUACUUUCCUUUUUUCUUCCUUUCUUUGUUUUCUGUUUGUGAAUCAAUGUAUGACCAAAUUCUUACUGGAUUUCUUAAUUUUCAGUGAUACUUUUUUCUGUAUUUCUUAUAUUUUGGUUAUUGAGACAUAAUUCAUGUGAUAUAAAACAUAACCACAGGCCGGGCGUGGUGGCUCACACCUGUAAUCACAGCACUUUGGGAGGUGGAGGUGGGUGGAUCACAAGGUCAGGAGAUCGAUACCAUCCUGGCCAAUAUGAUGAAACCCCAUCUCUACUAAAAUACAAAAAAACUAGCCGGGCUUGGUGGCACGUGCCUAUAGUCCCAGCUACUCGGGAGGCUGAGGCAGGAGAAUUGCUUGAACCCAGAAGGCAGAGGUUGCAGUGAGCUGAGAUCGCGCCACUGCACUCCAGCCUGGCAACAGAGUGAGACUCCUUCUCAAAACAAACAAACACACACCACAUUAUAGUAUAUAAUUAAGUGGUUUUUAGUAUAUUCACAAGAUUGUGCAACCAUCAUCACUAUCUAAUUCCAAAACAUUUUUAUCACUCACUCUCAAAAGAAAUGUUGUACCCAUUAGCAGUUACUUACUUUUUCUCUCUCCCCUCAGUCCCUAGCAACCACUAAUCUACUUUCUGGUUCUAUGGAUUUGCUUAUUUUGGACAUUGUAUAUAAAGGGAAUCAUACAAC